AGCGAACGCUGGCGGCAGGCCUAACACAUGCAAGUCGAACGAACCUUUCGGGGUUAGUGGCGGACGGGUGAGUAACACGUGGGAACGUGCCUUUAGGUUCGGAAUAACUCAGGGAAACUUGUGCUAAUACCGAAUGUGCCCUUCGGGGGAAAGAUUUAUCGCCUUUAGAGCGGCCCGCGUCUGAUUAGCUAGUUGGUUGAGGUAAUGGCUCACCAAGGCGACGAUCAGUAGCUGGUCUGAGAGGAUGAUCAGCCACAUUGGGACUGAGACACGGCCCAAACUCCUACGGGAGGCAGCAGUGGGGAAUCUGGCGAAAUGGGCGAAAGCCUGACGCAGCCAGGCCGGGGGAAUGAUGAAGGUCUUAGGAUUGUAAAAUUCUUUCACCGGGGACGAUAAGGGCGGUACCCGGAGAAGAAGCCCCGGCUAACUUGGU
rnacentral:rRNA from 1 species